rnacentral:tRNA from 1 species
GGCGGCGUAGCUCAGGUGGUAGAGCAUACGGCUCAUAUCCGUAGCGUCCGGGGUUCGAAACCCUGCGCCGCCA